GUCAAGUAAGAAUACCCGCUGAACUUAAGCAUAUCAAUAAGCGGAGGAAAAGAAACUAACUAGGAUUCCCUUAGUAACGGCGAGUGAACUGGGAAGAGCUCAAAUUUUAAAUCACUUUGGUGAAUUGUAAUUUGAAGAAAGUGUUUUGACUUUUCAGUUUAAUCUAAAUCCUUUGGGAUGAGGUGUCAUAGAGGGUGAGAAUCCCGUUUGUGAUUAAACCUCGGAUUGCACUAAUUCACUUUCUAAGAGUUGAGUUGUUUGGGAUUGCAGCUCUAAAUGGGUGGUAAAUUUCACCUAAGGCUAAAUAUAUGCAAGAGACCGAUAGCGAACAAGUACCGUGAGGGAAAGAUGAAAAGAACUUUGAAAAGAGAGUUAAACAGUACGUGAAAUUGUUGAAAGGGAAACGAUUGAAGUCAGUCAUGCUAGUGAGGAAUCAACUUGGUGGUUUACUUCCUUGUGUAUUUUCUUAUUUGGCAGGUUAGCAUCAAUUUUGGUUGUCAUCAAAUAAUUGGGGGAAUGUGGCUUUUCUUCGGGAAAGUGUUAUAGACCUUGAUAGAUGUGGCGACUGAGAUUGAGGUUUGCAGCGGAUGCCUUUGGCUAGUCAUCUGUCUUCUGACCGUCACCUCGCUUUUGACAGCUUGCUGAUGAUUGCGGGAUUUGGUGGCCUAGAAGUUAGAAUGUACAUAAAUUCGCUAAGGAUGCUGACGUAAUGGCUUUAAACGACCCGUCUUGAAACACGGACCAAGGAGUCUAACAUAUGUGCGAGUGUU
rnacentral:rRNA from 1 species